rnacentral:lncRNA from 1 species
AUGGUCAAUCCCUAGGUACCAACCUAACCUAUCUUAAGGAUUUUUUAACCCAAUCCUAUCCUCAACUUGGCGCUAGCAUCAACCAUGCUAAUUAUUUAUUUCUUUGAAUCUGAUUUUAUUAAUUUAUGAUCUUUUGAAAGCAAUAAAAGAGUCUAUACUAUCUAGAAGGUAAAAUUAUUAAUCAACUUUUAACUUACUAACUAUUAAGAAAAGAAAAUAAACUAAGAGGCUUUUAUAAAAGCCAUGUUUAAA